rnacentral:rRNA from 1 species
GCUCAUGGCCAGGAUGAACGCUAGCUACAGGCUUAACACAUGCAAGUCGAGGGGCAGCAUGGACCCAGCUUUGCUGGGUUUGAUGGCGACCGGCGCACGGGUGAGUAACGCGUAUCCAACCUGCCCUUUACUCCGGGAUAGUCUCCUGAAAGGGAGUUUAAUACCGGAUGUGUUUGUCUUUCCGCAUGGGAGCGACAAAUAAAGAUUAAUUGGUAAAGGAUGGGGAUGCGUCCCAUUAGCUUGUUGGCGGGG